rnacentral:rRNA from 1 species
GACGAGGGGUCCAAGCGUUGUUCGGAAUUAUUGGGCGUAAAGGGUGUGUAGGUGGCGCCGUAAGUCGGGUGUGAAAUUUCGGAGCUUAACUCCGAAACUGCAUUCGAUACUGCGGUGCUUGAGGACUGGAGAGGAGACUGGAAUUCAUGGUGUAGCAGUGAAAUGCGUAGAGAUCAUGAGGAAGACCAGUGGCGAAGGCGGGUCUCUGGACAGUUCCUGACACUGAGACACGAAGGCCAGGGGAGCAAACGGG